AUCGAUGAAGAACGCAGCGAAAUGCGAUAAGUAAUGUGAAUUGCAGAAUUCAGUGAAUCAUCGAAUCUUUGAACGCACCUUGCGCUCCUUGGUAUUCCGAGGAGCAUGCCUGUUUGAGUGUCAUUAAUAUAUAUCAACCCUCUCUCUUGUAGUGAGUGGUUUGGAUGUGGGGGUUUGCUGGCCUCUUUUAAAAAAGGGUUCAGCUCUCCUGAAAUGCAUUAGCAGAACAACCUGUUCAUUGGUGUGAUAACUAUCUGCGCCAUUGAAUGUGAGGGGCAGUUCAGCUUUCUAACGGUCCUUGGACAAUUCAUUAUUAAUGUGACCUCAAAUCAGGUAGGACUACCCGCUGAACUUAAGCAUAUCAAUAAGCGGAGGAAAAGAAACUAACAAGGAUUCCCCUAGUAACUGCGAGUGAAGCGGGAAAAGCUCAAAUUUAAAAUCUGGCGGUCUUUUGGCUGUCCGAGUUGUAAUCUAGAGAAGUGUUAUCCGCGCUGGACCGUGUACAAGUCUCCUGGAAUGGAGCAUCAUAGAGGGUGAGAAUCCCGUCUUUGACAUGGACUGCCAGGGCUUUGUGAUGCGCUCUCAAAGAGUCGAGUUGUUUGGGAAUGCAGCUCAAAAUGGGUGGUAAAUUCCAUCUAAAGCUAAAUAUUGGCGAGAGACCGAUAGCGAACAAGUACCGUGAGGGAAAGAUGAAAAGAACUUUGGAAAGAGAGUUAAACAGUACGUGAAAUUGCUGAAAGGGAAACGCUUGAAGUCAGUCGCGUCAUCCAGGGAUCAACCUUGCUUUUGCUUGGCGCACUUCCUGGUUUGAUGGGUCAGCAUCAAUUUUGACCGUUGGAAAAAGGCUGAGGGAAUGUGGCAUCUUUGGAUGUGUUAUAGCCCUCUGUCACAUACAAUGGUUGGGAUUGAGGAACUCAGCACGCCGCAAGGCCGGGUUUUAAACCACGUACGUGCUUAGGAUGCUGGCAAUAUGGCUUUAAUCGACCCGUCUUGAAACACGG
rnacentral:rRNA from 1 species